CCUACGGUGGCUGCAGUGGGGAAUAUUGGGCAAUGGGCGCAAGCCUGACCCAGCAACGCCGCGUGAAGGAAGAAGGCUUUCGGGUUGUACACUUCUUUUGUCAGGGAAGAGUAGAAGACGGUACCUGACGAAUAAGCCACGGCUAACUACGUGCCAGCAGCCGCGGUAAUACGGAGGUGGCAAGCGUUGUCCGGAUUUACUGGGUGUAAAGGGCGUGUAGCCGGGUUGACAAGUCAGAUGUGAAAUCCUGCGGCUUAACCGCAGAACUGCAUUUGAAACUGGUGAUCUUGAGUACUGGAGAGGCAGAUGGAAUUCGUAGUGUAGCGGUGAAAUGCGUAGAUAUUAGGAGGAACACCAGUGGCGAAGGCGGUCUGCUGGACAGCAACUGACGGUGAGGCGCGAAAGCGUGGGGAGCAAACAGGAUUAGAUACCCGAGUAGUC
rnacentral:rRNA from 1 species